rnacentral:lncRNA from 1 species
CGGGCAGAAUCAAUUUGCACCGAUUGCAGUUUUGAAAAGGUAUUAAUAGCACCACUCUCUUUUAUUUUGAUGGUAUUAAUUGCGCCAAUAAAUGAAAUGAAAUUGCGCCACAUUUACCUGUUAAUAUUUGUUACCUAUAUCAUACCUGUACAUGUUUUACCUAUAUCAAGACAAGACAAGACAAAUACUUUAUUAAAGUCUCGCCACUUGUUACAUAUAAAAUAUACAGCUUUUUAAAACACAAGUUAACAA